UGGCGUCCAGACCUCAAAGCGCGAGCCCUAGCAGCUCCAUUAACACUGAGAAAUCUGAACAAAAGUCUAAUCGACACCUCGACAGGACUUCCACCUCCCAAAGUCGAAACCAUCAUCCUCGAGGUGUGGAAAUGUGGGGGUGGUCUGAGGCGUUAAAGGUUUAGCAAAAUCUGCUUCACGCACAGUAAUAGCAAGCUGGAUUAAAACCUUACUUAAGGAAGCCGACAUUAUUGCUACACCUGGAAGUGUUCGAUCUGCGGUCGCUUCUAAAAGUUGGCUAGAAAAUCGUUCUAUAGAGGAAAUUCUGGCUCGUGGAAACUGGAGGUCGGGUAAUACAUUUAGAAAAUUCUACAGGCGUGAAGUAAUUAAUAACAACACGUCUAAUGGUGUUACAGACUUAUUCAUACCAAUAAGUGAUUAAGUAAUAAUUACAGUAUGAUAUAUGUUACCACAAUAUGAUUAAAGUAUUAUAUAAACUGAUUUUUUAAUAACAAUAAAUUAAUCAUUAUACUAAA